CUACGGGGCGCUGCAGCGGGGAAUAUUGGACAAUGGGGGAAACCCUGAUCCAGCAAUGCCGCGUGUGUGAAGAAGGCCUGCGGGUUGUAAAGCACUUUCGGUUGGGAGGACUGCUUCUAGCACUAAUAUUGUUGGAAGUUGACGUUACCUUCAGAAGAAGCACCGGCUAACUCCGUGCCAGCAGCCGCGGUAAUACGGACGGUGCAAGCGUUAAUCGGAAUUACUGGGCGUAAAGCGCGCGUAGGCGGCUAGAUCAGUCGGGUGUGAAAGCCCCGGGCUUAACCUGGGAACUGCAUCCGAUACUGUCUAGCUUGAGUACAGGAGAGGAGAGUGGAAUUCCACAUGUAGCGGUGAAAUGCGUAGAUAUGUGGAGGAACACCAAUGGCGAAGGCAGCUCUCUGGCCUGAUACUGACGCUGAGGUGCGAAAGCGUGGGGAGCAAACAGGAUUAGAUACCCCGUGUAGUC
rnacentral:rRNA from 1 species